rnacentral:lncRNA from 1 species
UGGAUGAGCACUCAGGCCCAAGCAAUCCUGUGGUCUGUGUAGGUGUCUCCUUUCUGCAGAGCUUAUGCUGAGCUGUGGUUUUGAAUCUCUGUUGCAGCAGCAGUCCCUGCCUGGAGGAAACCCUUCUCCCUGUGCUGCAUCUGGAGGCAUUGUGAGAACCUUGGAGCAUGCAGGCCUUUGGACAUCCCAGCAUUGGAGAAUUUUGUGUCCAAAAUUCCUGGUCUAUUUUUGAAAUAUGGCCAUGAUGUGAGUGUGAUUUGUGGGAGGGAGAACUUACCCAGAACUCAGCACUUCUGGAGGUCUCAGAUGAGAACACAUCCCUCAAUGAUUCUGCUACAGAUAACGGCUGCUGGGCAGUCUGUGAGCUCAUCCAGAGCAGGACUUGGCUCAGCCUUCCCCACAUUUGCCUUGAAUGCAACAUCCAAGCAUGAUCAUAGCUGGAGCUUCCCCUCAUCAAAGCAGAAAAUAAGCAGAAGGACCAACCACCUGCCACUCACUUGGUCACCUCAACAAGGCCAGGCUGGGGCUGAGAAUCAAUAGCAACGACACUGAGCUUUUGUGAGCUCAGGGUUUGUUUAAGGUGUUCACAUGUCAGCAGCUCGUGGAUGCUACAGGAGACCAGGAAUGGCCGUGAGUACCUGCACACACUGACCCCCCAUUUACCCAUGAACAGGAGCCACUCCAAUGAGCUCAGUCUGAUUUUAAAAGAUCUUUUGAGUGUUAAACAUGUAAUAAGAUGCUCAGUGUUAUUUUCAAACCAAGACAUGUUCCUGGCUGAUUUAUAAAAGGCCACA